AACAAGGCGUACCUGCGGACCUGCGGAGGGAUCAUUACAAGUGACCCCGGUCUAACCACCGGGAUGUUCAUAACCCUUUGUUGUCCAACUCUGUUGCCUCCGGGGCGACCCUGCCUUCGGGCGGGGGCUCCGGGUGGACACUUCAAACUCUUGCGUAACUUUGCAGUCUGAGUAAACUUAAUUAAUAAAUUAAAACUUUCAACAAUGGAUCU
rnacentral:misc_RNA from 1 species